GAUGAAGAACGUAGCGAAAUGCGAUAAGUAGUGUGAAUUGCAGAAUUCAGUGAAUCAUCGAAUCUUUGAACGCACAUUGCGCCCCUUGGUAUUCCGAGGAGCAUGCCUGUUUGAGUGUCAUUAAUAUAUCAACCUCUUCAGCUUAUGCUUGUUGAGUGUUGGAUGGUGGGGGUUUGCUGGUGUCUUAUGAAGUCAGCUCCUCUGAAAUGCAUUAGCGGAACAAUUUGUUGACCGUUCAUUGGUGUGAUAAAAAUAUCUACGCUAUUGACGUCAGUCAGUUCAGCUUCUAACAGUCCAUUGACUUGGACAAAUUUUUCAUUAAUGUGACCUCAAAUCAGGUAGGACUACCCGCUGAACUUAAGCAUAUCAAUAAGCGGAGGA
rnacentral:misc_RNA from 1 species